GUCCUCCCACUCCAUCUUAGAGCCCCAAGCUUUAGCCAUCCUUGGAGCUUGAUACUUUGAAGAGAAACGUGCGUGGUGCACUUGGGAAUCUCACUUAGUGCUGUAAGUGGAUCUUGAUUCCAUGUUUUCAUAUUUUUUUAUUGAUGCCUGUUUCUUUAGCUUAUCAAAGUGUGAAAUUUCAAGUAUGAAUAUGGAUGUAAUUGUGGAUAGGGAUGUGAUUGUGAAUAUGGAUGUGAUAGUGAAAAUGGAUGGGAUUGUGAAUAUGAAAUCUUGUUAUAUGUUCUCUGUUUUUUUAGAACUGUGACUCCCUUUUGUGUAAUUGUUUGAACAUUGAAAAUGUUUUUGUUAAUCUUGAAAUUUUGAAAUUGAAAAAGACCUCUUGCUAAUACCUAUCAUGGGUUGAAAGUUAUUAGCUAUUUUAUGAGGUAUGCCAGAAUAGUGAAAUGAAUUUUUAUAGACUGUAUAUGUUUUUGUGUGGGACUGUUCACUAACCAAAAUAUAUUAAUAUGAGGUCAAACUACUUCUAAAUGAAAGAUAAAUGAGUCUAUUUAAAAAAUGUUUUUGUAACCAUGAUAAAAUUUCAUGUGGAUUGGAAGUUAUGCUCUUUUUUUUAUGGGAAUGUCAUACUGGAUUUUCUCCUGUGAAAACAAGAAUUUUCUAGAACUGUGACUUCCAUUUGUGUGCUCGAUCGAGCAUCAAAAGGACCUCUGUUGAUCACAAAAUUUUGUGGAAAAGUAUCCUGUGGAGUCCAUUUUAAUAUGGAAAAGACCUUAUGUGAAUACCUCUUUUGGUUUGAAAAUUUUCAGUCAAUUUCUGAAGUAUGCCAUAAGGGUGAAAUGAAUUUCCAGGAACUCUGUAUGUUUUUGUAUUGCAUUGUUAACUGACCAAAAUAUGUUAGAACGAGCUCAAAACACUUUUAAAUGAAAUAUGUAUGAAUCUACUUUGAAAAUUGCUUGAGAAUUAUGAUCAAAUUCCCAGUGGUUUGAAAGUUAGGCCUGAUUUUCUAUUAAGAUAUCAUCAUGUAUUUUUUGCUGUGUAAGGCCAAAAGUUUCACUCAAGAUCACCAACAGUUUGGCAAGCUUUAGGCCAUUAUUUAAGGGCCAUUCCCCAAUCAAAAGUUGUGUUUUAAUGAGUCUAUAUUGUUAUAAAAGUGAUCCCGGGUCCAAAUUAUUUUUGAAUCCCAUGAUAUGCCUUUAAAGGUGGAUCCUGUUCACUGUAGAAAAACCAGAAAAAUGGUAUGAUGAUAUGAUGAAAUCUUUUGUGCUAAUGAGCCCGGGGGUCGGUUUAUAUGCAUUAUACGACAUGAUAAUGUCUUUCAAACUAAUAAGCAUGGUAAUAUGAUUUUAUGCAUGGCACGCUGAUGUUUUAAGCGAGCAUGGAAAUCUGUUGCUAAUGAGAAAUGUAUGUUAUAUUAUGAAUGCAUGCUUUGUUAUGAACACGAAUGCCUGCUCUAUUUUGAAUAUGAAUACAUGCCCUGUUAUGAUAAUAAAGUGUACUAUGUUAUAAUAUGGAAGCGUGCUCUGCUAUAAUUUGAAUGCAUGCAGUAAGACGUGCUUAGUGAUGAUAUGAAUGCAUAUAGUAAUACAUGCUCAGAUAUGAAAUGAAUACAUGACAAUAAGGCAUGCUCUGUUAUGAAAUGAAAGAAUGCUCUGUUGUGAUAGGAAAGCAUGAUAAUGAGAUAUGCUCUAUUAUGAUAUGUGUACAUGAUCAUGAUACAUGGUCCGUUGUGACAUGUGUGCAUGUUUUUUGAGACAAGUUAUGUGAUAUGUAAUAUGUGAUAGGACCUGUGUGGUUAGUUAUAUGAUAUGCGAUAUAUGAUAAGACCUGUGUGGUCAAUUAUGUGAUUUGUGAUAUGUGAGAAGACCUGUGUGGCAAGUUAUGCGAUAUGUGAUAGGACUUGUAUAGUUAGUCAUGUGAUAUGUGAUAUGUGAUAUGUGAUAAGACUUGUGUGGUCAGGUAUGUGAUAUGUGAUUUAUUGGCAUGCUUUGAGCAUAUUGCAUGACCAUGAUAUGCUAUGUGAUUUAUUGGCAUGUUUUGAGCGUAUGGCAUGAACAUGAUGUGAAAUGUUAUUUAUUGACAUGCUUUAAGCGUAUUGCAUGACCAUGAUGUGAUAUGUGAUUUUAUUGGCAGGCUUUGAGCGUAUUACAUGACCAUGAUGUGACGUAUGAUCUCUUAGCAUGCUUUGAGCAUAUUGCAUGACAAUGAGGUGAUAUGAUAAGAAAGUGGUGCUGGCUAUUGUGAUCUUUC
rnacentral:lncRNA from 1 species